AGUAGGGUAAGCUAAAUAAGCUAUCGGGC
rnacentral:tRNA from 9 species